rnacentral:rRNA from 1 species
UUGCACGCUGGCGGCAGGCCUAACACAUGCAAGUCGAGCGGAUGAAGGGAGCUUGCUCCUGGAUUCAGCGGCGGACGGGUGAGUAAUGCCUAGGAAUCUGCCUGGUAGUGGGGGAUAACGUCCGGAAACGGGCGCUAAUACCGCAUACGUCCUGAGGGAGAAAGUGGGGGAUCUUCGGACCUCACGCUAUCAGAUGAGCCUAGGUCGGAUUAGCUAGUUGGUGGGGUAAAGGCCUACCAAGGCGACGAUCCGUAACUGGUCUGAGAGGAUGAUCAGUCACACUGGAACUGAGACACGGUCCAGAAUCCUAAGGGAGGCAGCAGUGGGGAAUAUUGGACAAUGGGCGAAAGCCUGAUCCAGCCAUGCCGCGUGUGUGAAGAAGGUCUUCGGAUUGUAAAGCACUUUAAGUUGGGAGGAAGGGCAGUAAGUUAAUACCUUGCUGUUUUGACGUUACCAACAGAAUAAGCACCGGCUAACUUCGUG